rnacentral:rRNA from 1 species
GACGAACGCUGGCGGCGUGCUUAACACAUGCAAGUCGAACGGUGAAGCGCCUUCCUUUUUGGUGGGUGUGGAUGAGUGGCGAACGGGUGAGUAACACGCGAGUAACCUGCCCCCUUCUUCUGGAUAACCGCAUGAAAGUGUGGCUAAUACGGGAUAUUCUGGGUCUGUCGCAUGAUGGGUCUGGGAAAGAUCUUGUUUCGGUGGGGGAUGGGCUCGCGGCCUAUCAGCUUGGUGGUGGCGUGAUGGCCUACCAAGGCGGUGACGGGUAGCCGGCCUGGGAGGGUCGACGGUCACACUGGGAAUGAGACACGGCCCAGACUCCUACGGGAGGCAGCAGUGGGGAAUAUUGCACAAUGGGCGCAAGGCUGAUGCAGCGACGCCGCGUGAGAGAUGGAGGCCUUCGGGUUGUGAACCUCUUGCGCCAGUGAAGCAGGCCUGCCUCGUUUGUGGGUGGGUUGACGGUAGCUGGAGAAGAAGCGCCGGCUAACUACGUG